AAUUAACCCGUAUGAGGGAUGGAAGCGGCAUCCUUUUAUGUAUUUUCUUUAAAUACAUAAAAGAUACAGCGUACAGCCCGACCUUAU
rnacentral:sRNA from 1 species